AUGAAGUGGCGCCAAGCUUCUGGCAUUCUCUGUGACAAGAGAGUGCCACAAAAGCUAAAAGGCAAGUUCUACAGGACGGCGGUUCGACCCGCAAUGUUGUAUGGCGCGGAGUGUUGGCCGACUAAAAGGCGACAUGUUCAACAGUUAGGUGUGGCGGAGAUACGUAUGUUGAGAUGGAUGUGUGGCCACACGAGGAAGGAUCGAGUCCGGAAUGAUGAUAUACGAGAUAGAGUUGGGGUAGCACCAAUUGAGGAGAAGCUUGUCCAACAUCGUUUGAGAUGGUUUGGGCAUAUUCAGCGCAGGCCUCCAGAAGCUCCAGUGCAUAGCGGACGGCUAAAGCGUGCGUAG
rnacentral:rRNA from 1 species